CUGUCAUCCAGAAAGGUGGAGGGACUGGCCCUGAGAAGCCUUGGCAACCGUCAUUCGUGAUUGGUGCCAAUUCCAACCCGGAGAGCUGUCCGGGAAAAGAUGAUGG
rnacentral:ncRNA from 2 species